rfam:Blumeria graminis f. sp. tritici 96224 unplaced genomic scaffold Scaffold-103, whole genome shotgun sequence.
GCUGCGGUAGCUCAGUGGUAGAGCGGAAGAUUGCAGCGCGGUAAUAUCUUCAGGUCCUGUGUUCGAACCACAGUCGCAGCU